AUUCUCUCUAAUGACUGUCUCCCUCGCUGGAUGUGAUGAAGUAGGCUACAUUAUGCAGCACCCCAUGAAACAAAGAAUUGAGUGUGACCACCAGGCAACAUCUGGCAAGGAACUGAGUUCCAACAGUGCACAAGGAAGUGAAUCCUGACAACAGUCCCAAGAGCUUAGGAGUGAAUCCUUCUCCACUCCAGCCUCAGAUAAGUCUUGCCCUUAAUUGCAGCCUCAUGAAAGACUCUGAAACCUUGGGCCCAGGUAACCCAUGCCAAGAUUCCUGACCUGCAGAAACUGUGGGUCAUCAAGCAUGUUCUUUCAAGUCUCUACAUGUGUAGUAAUUUGUUAUGCAGCUUUAGAUAACCAAGAGAUGGAACAAUUGGAACUGCCCUACAGUUACGGUGGGGCAUAAAAUGACACAAGCAUUUUGGAAAACAGUUGGGCAGUUUCUUAUAAAAUUAAACAGACACUUACCCUAACACCCAGCAUUGUGCUCUAGGUAUUUACCUAAGAAAAAUAAAACGUGUUUAUACAAAGACUUAUACAUGAAUAUUUAUAGCAGUUUUAUACAUAAUAGCCUACAAGUAGAAACAACUCAAAUGUCCAUCCAAAGACAAAUAACUAAAGUAUGGAAUAUUCAUACAGUAAAAUACUACUCAGCAAUCAAGAGGAAUGAGCCACUAACACAUUCAACAACAUCGAUGAAUGUCAAAAACGUCAUGUUGAGGAAAAGACCCCAGACAUAAAAGAAUAUAUUAUAUAUUAGUCCAUUUAUAUUAAACUCUAGAAAGCACAAAUCUAAUCUUUGAUCAUAGAAAAUAGAUCUGUGGUCAUCUAAAACUGGGGGUGUGAGGUCAGGAUUGACAGCAAAGGCUCACAAGCCUGACUUUUGGGGGUGGUGGGCAAGUUCUACAUCUUGAUUGUGACAGUAUUUACAAUCAACUGUCAAAACUCAUGGAGCUGUUCACUUAAAGUUGGUAAAUUAUAUUUUAUGUAAAUUUUUCCUUGAUAAAGUUUUUUUAAAUGAUCUCAAGGUGGAUUAAAGACUUAAACUGUAAAACUCCCAGGAGAAAACAUACAGAGGAUCCUUCAUUAUAUUGGUAUUGGCAGUGAUUUAUUGGAUAUGAUGCCAAAAGCACAGUACACAAAAACAAAAACAGAAUACAGCAACGGAACAAUUAACAGAGUGAAAAAGUAACCUGUGGAAUGGGAAAAUGGGAAUGCUGUUCUGCAUAGCAACGGAACAAUUGGCAGAGUGAAAAGUUUCUUGCAGCUUGGUGUGGUGGAUCUCACCUGUAAUCCCAGGACUUUGGGAGGCCGAGGCAAGAGGAUUGCUUGAGACCAGGAGAUGAAGACCAGCCUGGGCAACAUAAUGAGACCCUGUCUCCACAAAAAUAAAAUAAAAUAAAAUAAAGAUAAAAAUAAAAAAUUUAAAAAUAAUUUUUAAAAAUAGUUUAUGGCCACAUUUAUACCAAAAUGGUAAGGUGGUGGUGGGACGACCUGCAGGAAAACUUGGUCCAGGAAGGGGACCUAGGUACUAGUGCCCAUCUCCCCCUGGGUGGAAAUUCAGGCAUGUCCUUUCCUCA
rnacentral:lncRNA from 1 species